rnacentral:rRNA from 1 species
GAUGAACGCUGGCGGCGUGCCUAAUACAUGCAAGUCGAGCGAACAGAUGAGGAGCUUGCUCCUCUGACGUUAGCGGCGGACGGGUGAGUAACACGUGGAUAACCUACCUAUAAGACUGGGAUAACUUCGGGAAACCGGAGCUAAUACCGGAUAAUAUAUUGAACCGCAUGGUUCAAUAGUGAAAGACGGUUUUGCUGUCACUUAUAGAUGGAUCCGCGCUGCAUUAGCUAGUUGGUAAGGUAACGGCUUACCAAGGCAACGAUGCGUAGCCGACCUGAGGGGGUGAUCGGCCACACUGGAACUGAGACACGGUCCAGACUCCUACGGGAGGCAGCAGUAGGGAAUCGUCCGCAAUGGGCGAAAGCCUGACGGAGCAACGCCGCGUGAGUGAUGAAGGUCUUCGGAUCGUAAAACUCUGUUAUUAGGGAAGAACAAAUGUGUAAGUAACUAUGCACGUCUUGACGGUACCUAAUCAGAAAGCCACGGCUAACUACGUG